rnacentral:rRNA from 1 species
AGAGAUGGCUUUCUUCCCGCAAGGGGCCGGUGCACAGGUGCUGCAUGGCUGUCGUCAGCUCGUGUCGUGAGAUGUUGGGUUAAGUCCCGCAACGAGCGCAACCCUCGCCCUUAGUUGCCAUCAUUCAGUUGGGCACUCUAGGGGGACUGCCGGUGAUAAGCCGCGAGGAAGGUGGGGAUGACGUCAAGUCCUCAUGGCCCUUACAGGCUGGGCUACACACGUGCUACAAUGGCGGUGACAAUGGGAUGCGAAAGGGCGACCUGGAGCAAAUCUCAAAAAGCCGUCUCAGUUCGGAUUGCACUCUGCAACUCGAGUGCAUGAAGGUGGAAUCGCUAGUAAUCGCAGAUCAGCACGCUGCGGUGAAUACGUUCCCGGGCCUUGUACACACCGCCCGUCACACCAUGGGAGUUGGUUUUACCCGAAGGCGUUUCGCCAACCGCAAGGAGGCAGGCGACCACGGUAGGGUCAGCGACUGGGGUGAAGUCGUA